AGGAAGCUGAGAGACAGAGAGAUUCAGACCGCAAACUGAGAAAACAGUGAGAGAGUGAUGAGUUCUGUUCGCUACAAAUCAUCAGAUCCAUCGCAAUGCACACCUGUCAUUAUUGCUUCCGAAUCCAUCGAGAGUAGGAAGAAGCUGGAGAAGAAGAAAAAGAGCCACGUGUUGCUAGAAGGCUACGUGGAGAGUCUCGCCACGUUGGAUAAUAAUAACCAAGACGAUCUGACGAGAUCCAAGAGCUUGACCGACGACGAUCUCGAAGAUCUCAAGGGUUGCCUAGAUCUAGGCUUUGGUUUCAGCUACGACGAGAUCCCUGAGCUCUGCAGCACUCUCCCCGCUCUAGAGCUUUGCUAUUCCAUGAGCCAGAGAUUCUCCGACGACAACAACAACAAGUCAUCGCCGGAAAAUUCGCCGGUGGACGAUUCUUCUCCGGCGCCUCCUAUUGCCAACUGGAAGAUAUCUAGCCCCGGUGAUAAUCCGGAUGAUGUGAAAGCUAGGCUCAAGUACUGGGCACAAGCCGUUGCAUGUACUGUCCAGUUGUGCAGCUGAAUGGUUCAUCGUCACGUCUGAAGCAGGAAGUCUAGUGAAGGUGUAACAUCAUGGUACUGUUUAUAGAUGAGGAGGAGAUCUCAGAAAGGCAUUGGAAGUGGUGAGAGGCUUGUGUUUUAUAAGAGCUAUCACUAACUGGCUACAUGCCUCUACUUGCUGAGGUAACUAAUACUAACUGGAUCAAUUUAACCUUCUUCGUGAGAGAUUUGUGUGCCUAUUUCCGUGCUGUUGCACCUUGAUUUCUCAGGAGAAUCGAGUGAGAGGAAAAGAAAGAAGAUAGAUGGAUUUCAUAUGUUAUAUGUUAUCUUCUUCCGUAUUCAAUAACUGGUGAAAAAGUGGACUACUGACAACAAUUGAUACUGAAUGCUCGAUACGGAUGAUCUGAAUCAAGUUUGUGACAUUAUUCAAAAGCAAACUGUUUGAAAAUCUACAUUGAUAUAAGUAUAUAACUUGAAAUGUGUAUCUAGAUAGUGCCUCAUGUUCUAUAUAUGCAGGGCUUGAAGUUGUA